GGCAGUUUGGCAUAGUGGUUUAAGUGCUGAAGUAUGAUUCUGGAAACCAGGAUUCAAAUCCCUGCUCUGUUA